rnacentral:rRNA from 1 species
GAUGAACGCUGGCGGCAGGUUUGACACAUGCAAGUCGAACGAGAAGCAGGUGCUUGCACCUGUGGACAGUGGCGAACGGCUGAGUAACACGUAGGAAUCUACCCCUCGGACCGGGACAACAGUGGGAAACCGCUGCUAAUACCGGAUAUAUUCUUCGGAAGGAAAUGGUCCGCCGCCGAGGGAGGAGCCUGCGGCGUAUUAGGUAGUAGGUGAGGUAAUGGCUCACCUAGCCGAUGAUGCGUAGCUGGUCUGAGAGGACGAUCAGCCAGACUGGGACUGAGACACGGCCCAGACUCCUACGGGAGGCAGCAGUUCAGAAUCUUGCACAAUGGGCAAAGCCUGAUGCAGCCAUGCCGCGUGUGCGAAGAAGGCCCUGGGUC